CAAUAGCGUAUAUUUAAGUUGUUGCAGUUAAAAAGCUCGUAGUUGGAUUUUGGGUCGGGGGCACCGGUCCGCCGUUCCGGUGUGCACUGGUGGCCCCUUCCUUUCUGCCGGGGACGUGCGUCGCACUUAAUUGGGUGGCGUUCGGAGUCGGCGUUGUUACUUUGAAAAAAUUAGAGUGUUCAAAGCAAGCCAUCGCUCUGAAUACAUUAGCAUGGAAUAACAUGAUAGGACUCCGGUCUUAUUUUGUUGGUUUCCGAGACUGGAGUAAUGAUUAAGAGGGACAGUCGGGGGCAUCCGUAUUUCAUUGUCAGAGGUGAAAUUCUUGGAUUUAUGAAAGGCGAACUUCUGCGAAAGCAUUUGCCAAGGAUGUUUNCAUUAA
rnacentral:rRNA from 1 species